ACCGAUGAAGGCGACUAUCAGGUAAAGCUGAAAAACCUGACCCGCUUUCUGGAAGGUGGUGACAAGGGUAAGGUCACAUUGCGCUUCCGGGGACGUGAAAUGGCGCACCAGGACAUCGGCCGCAAGCUGAUGGAACGGAUCGCCGCAGACCUGGAUGAUAUCGGAUCAGUGGAGUCCUUUCCCAAAAUGGAAGGGCGCCAGAUGAUCAUGAUUCUUGCCCCGAAGAAGAAGUGAUCCAAUGGCCGGUCAAACGGGCCAGCGUUUUUCGCUGGUUGGCCUUGGGUUUUCUAAAAAAUAUCGAGCGGAGCUAUUCUCAUGCCGA
rnacentral:misc_RNA from 1 species